CCACCAUUUUCAUCGACAUGGUUGAAACUGGAGGGAAUUAAGCUAAGUGAGAUAAGUCAAGCAGAGUAAGACAAUUGCAUGAUUUCAUUUCU